UUCUAUUCUAUCUCUUCUCAA
rnacentral:snRNA from 1 species